rnacentral:rRNA from 1 species
GAAAUUUAACGGAUUUGGCGGCAAGAUAGCCCCUUAGAGGAACCUGCCCUGUAAACGAUGAACCACGAGGGACUCUACUUUCUUUGGUAGUCAGUUUGUAUAUCGCUGUUGUCAGUUAGAUUCUUGAGAAUAUUUUCGUGUAUGGAAAGUUCAUUGACUUCAAGUAAAGGUGCAGCUUAUAAGGAAGAUAGAGGUGGGUUACAUUUAUGAGAAUAAAACGGAAAGGAUGGAUGAAACAAUCCUUGAAGGUGGAUUUAACUGUAAAACUUAAGUAGGUUUGGUGAGAGCUCUAUCUUGUGUACACAC